GACGAACGCUGGCGGCGUGCUUAACACAUGCAAGUCGAACGAAGAGCGAUGGAAGCUUGCUUCUAUCAAUCUUAGUGGCGAACGGGUGAGUAACGCGUAAUCAACCUGCCCUUCAGAGGGGGACAACAGUUGGAAACGACUGCUAAUACCGCAUACGAUCUAAUCUCGGCAUCGAGGAUAGCUGAAAGGUGGCCUCUACAUGUAAGCUCUCACUGAAGGAGGGGAUUGCGUCUGAUUAGCUAGUUGGAGGGGUAACGGCCCACCAAGGCGAUGAUCAGUAGCCGGUCUGAGAGGAUGAACGGCCACAGUGGGACUGAGACACGGCCCAGACUCCUACGGGAGGCAGCAGUGGGGAAUCUUCCGAAAUGGACGAAAGUCUGACGGAGCAACGCCGCGUGAGUGAUGACGGCCUUCGGGUUGUAAAGCUCUGUUAAUCGGGACGAAAGGCCUUCUUGCGAAUAGUGAGAAGGAUUGACGGUACCGGAAUAGAAAGCCACGGCUAUCUACGUG
rnacentral:rRNA from 1 species